CUUAUAUAGUCCUCCACUAAACAAACAAGAAAUCCCUAAGUCUGUAGCUCGACUUAAAACCGCUUCAGAUACUUUUCUCAAAGUCGACUUACCUAUAAUUUUCUGUAUGGCAAUAGCCUCUACCGCCGUGAUUGCGCACGAGAUUCAUUUACAAAGAUCAGGACGCCUAAACCGGGAUACCACUACUAAUCAUCCCUCCUCUGUUUCCUCUUUAAGAGUCUGCAAGCCUUCAACCACAGAUCAAGCUAAGACCAGUUGAGCUCUAGCCAUACCAUACUACGGCUCAUCGGUGUUUUGUGUUUUAUUUCUUAAAAAUGAUGGUCUCUUGUUUUUAUGUUCUUUCUAUUGGACUUUUUAACUAUUGGGGU